UUACAUAAAAUAAGAUUGAUGUAUUGCAUUACAUCAAAACAAAAUGGCCAAAGAGUUGUUUUAAUUGAGCCUGCGUUUCUAAAAGCUUCUUUUCUGACCUCUUCCAGUGUCUAAAUUGGUGUUUCCUAUUAACUGAUCGAUGUGGAUGUCAUUUAAUAACAGAAAAUACCCGCAUAAUAUAACUAAACUAUCGGAAAGGUUAGAAAGAGCUUUACUCUGUAAAUUCUGUGACAAUUAAACCAUUUAAUUAUGCUUAGGAAACUAUGAAAUUGCAUAGCUGGACUGGAGUCAGCAUGUCAAACAUGUAACCUAACCUCCUAAAGCAGAAACGCGACGCACACGUAUGACGUCACACCGCAAAGCCAAAACAAACCUGUUCAGAGUGCACUGUAUGCACUUCAGAGGAAUUUGAGGUUGCAGCGAUUUUGGGGCUACUAAUGAAAGAACAUCUAAGCAAAACUUGAACUGAUUGUGUUGACGCCAUUUAAACUGUAAACAGUUUGUUAAAAGCGCUGAAAUAAAAAGCAUAUAUAUCAGAAUAAACGAUAGCUGAAUUACACUGUGUAAUAUUCUACGAGCUCUUGGAAGUUUUAGACAACAAAAUAUAAAGAGGACUUUUAUUUUGACGCGGGCGUGUGACGCCGUGUGUGCGCCGCGCUCGUGCAUUUGUUUUGAUCUGGCUGAAGCGCGUGUGCUUCAGUGUUUCAGCUUUAUAUUAAUAUAGACCGUUUAAUAGUUUAAAUUGAGCGAUGAAUAUUGGUUGAGUAUACAUUAGCGCUGAAAUACAUUCAUUUACACCGCGUUCAACUUUUAUAGCGCGUUGUAUUUGUCCUCUUAGUUUUAUCAUUUACCGUUUGUCUAAUCAAAUUAGGUUUGUCAUAAAUGCUUGAAUUCAUCUUAAUACACUGCCUUCUGUUUAUAUGGUUAACAUUUAUUCAUGAUGAAGAAUUAUUUAAUAAGCUGCCCACGUGAAAAAUAUAAACAGUAUAAUGAUUUUUCAAUCGUACUAUAUAUAUAUAUAUAACGGAGUUAAAAUAAUGGUUAAAAUAAUGGUUCAACUAGGAACACUCACUAUUGGUUUUGGCAUUACCUGAAGUCGCGUCCAUCACAGUAGGGGGCGGUGCUACAUAGCAUAGUUCACCAGCAGCAGCAGCAGCAGUCCCGAGAAGUCUCUGCUGACACCAAUAUCAUAAGAGCUGCAGACGAACUAAACCUAUGGUGCUGUGUUUGUGUCAGACACCGUGAGAAUCAGCUUCUCCCCGUU